AAUAUUGGACAAUGGGGGCAACCCUGAUCCAGCCAUGCCGCGUGUGUGAAGAAGGUCUUCGGAUUGUAAAGCACUUUAAGUUGGGAGGAAGGGCUUUAGGUUAAUACCCUGAAGUUUUGACGUUACCAACAGAAUAAGCACCGGCUAACUUAGUGCCCGCAGCCGCGGUAAUACAGAGGGUGCAAGCGUUAAUCGGAAUUACUGGGCGCAAAGAGCGCAUAGGUGGUUCAGUAAGAUGGGUGUGAGAUACGCGGGCUUAACAUGGGAACUGCUUUCAUAACUGCUGAGCUAGAGUACGGUAGAGGGUAGUGGAAUUUCCUGUGUGGCGGUGAAAUGCGUAGAUAUAGGAAGGAACACCAGUGGCGAAGGCGACUACCUGGACUGAUACUGACACUGAGGUGCGAAAGCGUGGGGAGCAAACA
rnacentral:rRNA from 1 species